UACGAAGGGGGCUAGCGUUGCUCGGAAUCACUGGGCGUAAAGCGCACGUAGGCGGAUCUUUAAGUCAGGGGUGAAAUCCCAAGGCUCAACCUUGGAACUGCCUUUGAUACUGGGGAUCUCGAGUCCGGAAGAGGUUGGUGGAACUGCGAGUGUAGAGGUGAAAUUCGUAGAUAUUCGGAGGAACACCAGUGGCGAAGGCGGCUCACUGGCUCGAUACUGACGCUGAGGUGCGAAAGCGUGGGGAGCAAACAGG
rnacentral:rRNA from 1 species